GCUAGAGGGAUGCUCAGUAGCGGCGAGUGAGCGGCAGAGCUCAGAUUUGAAAUCUCACCUAGUGUGCGAGUUGUAAAUUGCAGGUUGGAGUCUCGGGUUAGACGUGUGUGCAAGUCCCUUGGAACAGGGUGCCACUGAGGGUGAGAGCCCCGUAUCGUGCAUGUCGACACCUGUGAGGCCCUUCUGACGAGUCGAGUUGUUUGGGAAUGCAGCUCUAAGUGGGUGGUAAAUUCCAUCUAAGGCUAAAUAUUGGCGAGAGACCGAUAGCGAACAAGUACUGUGAAGGAAAGAUGAAAAGCACUUUGAAAAGAGAGUGAAACAGCACGUGAAAUUGUUGAAAGGGAAGGGUAUUGGGCUCGACAUGGGAUUUACGCAUCGUUGCCUCUCGUGGGCGGCGCUCUGGGUUUUUCCUGGGCCAGCAUCGGUUUUCGUUGCAGGAUAAGGACAAUUGGAAUGUGGCUCCUCGGAGUGUUAUAGCCUUUUGUAGAUGCUGCGUAUGGGGACCGAGGGCUGCGGCGGACUCGUUUCGUCUCGGAUGCUGGCACAACGGCGCAAUACCGCCCGUCUUGAACACGGGACCACCA
rnacentral:rRNA from 1 species